GGGGAUAUAGCUCAGAGGUAGAAUGCCUGCCUAGCACACAGGAGGGAGGCCCUGGGUUCAACUCCUAGUGUAGCCA
rnacentral:tRNA from 1 species